CUUAGCGUAAUCGACGAGGUUACGGUGGUUGAGGUCAUCUCCGACCUGGAGCCAGUUUCCGAACACCGGAAUCGGUAUAGGACCAGGAGGUAGCUUCAAUUUCUUGCCGCGGAGCUUGGAAAUCACGGCGGCGAGAACCACCGCCACGAAGACGGCGAUUAGUGACUUCUCUAACAAGAGAAACUCCAUUAUACUUCACUCUCCGCUCAAUUUAUCUUUGAUUUUCCCGGUGAGAAAUGAAUCAAAUGACUAAUAUUAUCAAUCAUUUUAGUCAUUUUAAUCUCUAAUAAGACUAUAAACUCAAGUUCGCUUUGUCCUUCUAUUUGAAUAUAAUUAAGAUUUGACUAAUAUAAUCAUUUCUUGACUUCUCAUCGAUUUUCUACACAUGAUGUUGAAUAUUAUAAUUUUAAUACAAAUUGUGUAAUGAAAUGGAUUUCAUGAACGUUAGUUUGUCUUUGAUCCCAAUUAAAAAAAAGGAACGUUAGUUUGAGGUAGAAACCUCCAAAUUAGGAACUAUGGUUUAUGGUUCAACAAUCAUAAGUAUUUGAAAUGAAUAUACCAAACAAUAUUCAUUCAAAACAGUGGGAACCACUAGUUAUUUCAAUCAUGGAACGAACCAUUUAACGACAUUUUACACAAGACCUUACAAAAAAAAAGACCAAAACAUGGAAUAUUCAACAGAUUUCACAAACAUCAUUAUAAUGCCAUCCACAUAACAAAAGACAUUUUGCAGAAAUUACGUUUUCACUUUUUUUUGCAGAAAAUGUUAAAAGGCCCUUGGUUUCAUAACGAUUGUUGAGUGGUUAAGGAUGUGCAAGCUGAAUUGUCCACCUUUCUCAGAAGUAUCCACUUUAGACUGUCCAGGAGGAGGAAGAAGCUCGAAGUUCUGUACCAGCCUACCAAUGGUGAUUCCCAAAAUGGGCAACGCCAAUAUAAUCCCGGGACAGCUUCUACGUCCAACACCAAACGGCACAUACCUGAAGUCAUUACCAUUCGCUUCCACAUGCGCCUCUUCUUCGAAAAACCUCUCGGGUCUAAACUCUUCAGGUUUCUUCCAGCUUUCGGGGUUGUUCGCUAGCCACCAGGCAUUGACUAGGAUUUUGCUUUCAGCUGGGAUAUCGUAGCCAGCGAGCUUAGCAUCGUUAAGGUUCAUGUGAGGCACGAGGAGAGGAAUAGCCAUUCUUAGACGAAGCGUCUCCUUGAUCACGGCUUGGAGGUAUGGAAGCUUGUGAAGCUCAGGCUCUGUGACUUGAACACCAGGUCCAAGAACCGUAUCGAUUUCGUUCCUUAGCUUGCUCUGAAUCUCAGGAUGGUUCACUAGUUCAGCAAUUCCCCACUCGAUUGACCACAAUGUUGUCUCAAUAGCUGUUUCAGCAAACAUUUGACAGAAGUAAUCAGCAUCACAAAACUCUAUAAAUGUUCAUUAAAAAUUCAGCCUUUUUUCAAGGGAGACAAAAGACACUGCAAUUUCUGACCAUAAAAGUGUCUUUUGCUGUUUUAGUUAACAUUCCAAAUUGAUGGGAUUCACUCAAAAGACUAGUAGCCAACAAAGACACGUCUAGAGGAUUGCUUACGUAUCCUACAAGGAAGAAAUAAGUACCUGCAACGUUGAUGUUCUCGACGAUGUAAAGAACGUUGUCCUCGUUGAUUUCUCCUUUCUGUUGAGCUUCAAGGAUAUGAUCAAUGGCGCAUUUCAAUCCUUCGCUGCCUGUAGGCUUAGCACUCGCAAUUUGCCUGUAUAGAUUUCCCACAGUCAAUCUCAAAGUCCCUAAAAUCGAAAACCAAAAGAUAUGACCAAAAUCGAAGAAGACGAACUCACUUCCUCUCGUCAACAAAGUACUUUUUGAAGAGCGCUAGUCUCCGAUCUUUCACAUCUUGACAGAUCUUCAAGUAGCCUCUAAGGAACGGCCUAAGGAUAGGAAUGAAAUCGCCAUAGUUAUACUCAAAGCUCUGAGCCAAUCGGCUUCUCUCUCCGUUCAAGGCCUUAAGCCUGAGGAAAAGAGGAUCAUCCUCGCUCUCGAACCUUCUAUCGAACAUGAUACGGAACAUAUUGUUGUACAUCAUCAGCUGCAAACGCUUCCUCAACACAAUCCCUUUCGUCGCCGAAUCUGGAUUCUUCUUCACAUCCUCAACGACGCUCGCCGCCUCGAACUCCCAUCCUUCCCGAUUCUGCUGAACCACCUUGUUGGUGAAGAACGGAACCGUCAUAAUCCGCCGCAUCUUCCUCCAGUGCUCGCCGUACACCGUGAACACCAUAUCCUGUCCUUUUCCGGUGAAUAUGUCGAAGACGACGUUCCUGGUACGAGAUCCAAACUCCACUCCCUGUGUGUGGAGCACUUCCUUGGUGAGAUUCGGCGAAGAGACGACCACUAGGUUACGUUGACCCAUACGGAGAAGGAAGAGGUCUCCGAAUUUCUUAGCGUAAUCGACGAGAUUACGGUGGUUUAGGUCAUCUCCGACCUGGAGCCAGUUUCCGAACACCGGAAUCGGCAUAGGACCAGGAGGUAGCUUCAAUUUUUUGCCUCGGAGCUUAGAAAUCACGGUGGCGAGAAUCACCGCCACGAAGACGGCGAUUAGAGACUUCUCCAACAAGAGAAGGUCCAUUUGCACUUCACUCUCUCGAUUUUCGUAAUUAUCACGGUGAUCGAUAAUUUUUAUUUAUUUUCCCGGUGAGAGAAAUCGUCGGCGAAUGAAAAAGCAGAAGAAGCUGCUGAGG
rnacentral:lncRNA from 1 species